GAUUUGCCAUCUUAAGCCCCUAGCCCAGGGACGCGGAAUUCCCUGGGACAGACUCUCUCACAGACAAAUGAUGGCAUUGAGUAGAAGGCAUUUCUGUCCAUUCACAAGGUGACUGCCUCAUUCAGUUGGGUCUGUUUCCGCCUCUCCCUGCAGGUCACCCUGGGCUUCGGGGGGCACCACAGCCUCUAUCAUGUUGCGGGCAUGUUUUUGCCCCUUCUUGGGCUCUCUGCUCAGUACCACAGCUCCAUCAUACUGUUUGGACUAGGAGGGUACACACAUGGUGCCUGACCAGUCAGCAGAACACUGGACUGAUGAUCCCACACAUCUCAGACUGGCAUUGAGCUCACCAUGUCACAGAGGACGACCCCCAUCUUUGGCUCCUCCUGCCUCUACCUCCAAACUGCUGAGAUCCCAGAUGCAUAGGGCCACACCCAGUUUCAUUCAGCGAUGAAGACCAAACUCAGGGCUUUGUACCUGCUAAGCAAGCCCUCCGCCCAAUGAGCUGCACCGCUUCAGCCACUUCUUUAACUUGCUUGCCACUCCACCAAAGGGACGUCUCUGGGAUGCAGCAUGGGGGUGAGGUGGUAUAGCAUCUCUUCACUACCUAUUCAUCUCAAAGAAGACUUUUGGAGACUUUGGGGACUUUUUGGAGACCCACAAACAGCCAAGCUGUAAGGACAGGCAGCCCUGUGGUCAGAGGAAGGAUGCAUGGCUGUGUCUAUGUGUGUGCCAUAUGCUUCCAUCUAUAAAGGCAGGAUGUAUGGCUGGGACACUCAGCCCUGAGCUGCAAAGCUGUCUCAUGGAACACCAAGAAAACAUCAGGUGAGGAGCCUGGGCUCUGGAGAUGAUCAGACAUGGGUACCACCUGCUUUUACACACAUGAGGCACCAAACCCCAAGAGCUCCCUAGGAUAUAGGCAACCUGAUGGUGCUUGAACUUUCAAGAGGGAGGCCUUCUGGAAAGUUCCACUUCCAUUUCAGAGGUCGGCACUUAACUUACCACUCCUUCCCUUAUGAGUCUAACUUAAAAAUACUUCUGGAGGCAUGGUGACUCAUGCUGGUGAUCGUAGGAAACCACUUGGAAACUGAGGCAGGAGGAUGGAGAAUUUUAGAAUAGCUUGAGCUUUGUAGUGUGUUUCAAUGUGAAUAACUGAAUGAGUACUAAAAACACUUGAGCUUUUCAGAAUCAAUGAGUUCUCUUGGUAUCUGCAGGCAUCAUGCCACUCAUGGUCUGGGAAAUUCAUUAAAGGCCUUGACCAAAAAAAUAAAAAUAAAAAUAAAGACCUUGGCCAGGUCCUUCCUGGAACCCUA
rnacentral:lncRNA from 1 species